AACAUUAUAAAACUCUUUACCUAGAUCGGUUUGUAGAUUUUUAGGAACUCGACCUUUUUCUAGUAUCUUAUUAAAAGCUUCAGUUACAGUCUCUUGAUUUUUAUGUUUAAGGGGAUAAGCCCAAGCAUAUUUAGAGAAAGCAUCAAUGACUGUUAAAAUAUAUUUAUAUUGUGAAUUUUCUUUUGAAAUUGAUUGCAUGUCAACUAAAUCAGCCUGCCAUAAAUCAUCAAUAUCUCUCAGUAUAACAUGUCGCCGAGGAAAAUUCUUUCUUGCAUUUUUAUGGAUUUCAUUUACAACACUAUGUUUGCUCAUUUUUUAACUUUACGACUAACAACACCUAUACUAUUUUUAAGACUAUUUAUUUCAGAAUGUAACUGAAUCAAUGUUUGCUCAACUGUUUUUAAUCUUGAUGUAAUCCCGUCUAUGGUUUUAUCAACGUAUAGUUUAGUAGCACAAUCGUUUGGGUCUAUAGGCAUGCCAAUAUGUUUAAUGAUCUUAUGUUGAGCAUCAAAUAUAUUUUCCAUAGCAGAAGAAUCCAUUCUUAUUUGUUUGUGUACAUGAUGACCAAAUUUGUUGACAUUCAUGUUCGAUGGUGUUUGUAGAACUAGGCUAGAUUGGAAAUUACUCAUAAUUAUAUAAACUUUAUUUUAUAAUACCAGCUUCUUUAAGUUCUUCUAUUAUUGAUAUGAUUUCAUUAUCAUGAUUAGUGUUGCCAGCAUCUUUAGAAGCAAUUAAAAGUUUUAAUCUAUUUACCAACUCGUUAGGAUCAUCCCAGUAAAUGAAAUCUGUAUUCUUUUUAUAUUCUUUUAAAGUCGGUAUAAAACCACCUUGUUUCGCCGCCUUGUUAUUAAGUUCAGUUUCAGAAAAAAGAGGUUUCACGAUUUUAGUGUAUUUGAUUCCUUUAUCACCUUUUAUCUGAUUUAAAGGAUUAUAAUCUCUCUUGUGUACAUAAGUGUUACAUAAAAUAUCUUUAUAAACUAAUUUAUCUUGAUCAGAUAUCGCCUCUAAAUCUGGCUUACUUUGAAAUAACAAUUCUGCUAACCCUGGGGUUACUUCAUAGCUUCUACUUCCUAUCUUUGCAAUCAUAUUUUUAUUGGUAUCUGUGCCAUCUAAAAACAUAAUUUUAGAAUUUCCAAUCAUCAAUGUACUAUUUUCAUUGCGCACGCCAAACGGUACAUUUAAAUUUUUGCAUACAUUUUCUGACAUUGGCCAUGGAGUACGAAUUUCUUCAACUUUUUCAGAAUUCUUAUACUUUUCAUCAUCACUAUUUUCAGUAGUAAUAUUAUCGGAAGAAGAAAUUAAAUCAUUUAUGUCAUGUAGAGUUUUAAUCUCGGGAGGUUUUAUUUUUUCAUUAUUUUCUUCUUUUUUGUGGUGUGCUAAUGAUUCUAAUGGUUCAGUUAUAGAUCUGAAAAGUUUGUGUCUUUUUAACUCCAUAUCUUCCUCAUCUUUUCGCAUUUGUCUUGUUUUUUUCUUAAUAGCUUUAAUUGAUUUAAUUAAUUGAUUUUUAACGUUUCCUUCCAUACUAAAUAAAAUGGUUAUCUUGGCAGAUGCUAAAUUUCAACUGAAUUAAUUAACGCUUUGUAAGUUGUAUAUAAUAAUUUAUUUAUCAAAUUCAACAAAUGUGUCAAAUGCUUUUCUAUAUCUACCUUUGUUUAACUCACAAUCCUUGUUUAUUAACAAAAACAUAUGCGUAUCUGUCCAAAUAUUUGAACAUAAUUGCUUAAAGUUAUGCCAACUCAUAUCGGAGUUUACAUGUUCAUGAUAUAUAUGUUUUAGGUUUAUAUCAUCUUGCUUAAAUAUUAUUAAGAGAUUAACAUUAUCUCGUAUUAAUUGCUUAGGAAUUUUUGAAUAUGUCUGAGACAAAUAAAAACAGUCAACUUGCUUAUGUCUACCCAUCGAAAAGUAAUUUCGAAUAUUUACUUGAUUUUCACAUGUCACAUCAUCAAAAACGAAAAUCGAGUUUUUCAUAACAUCAUCGGGUGAAAUAACAUCUUCGUCAUUUUUAAGCAUAAAAAGUUUUACAUCUGGGGUAUUUUGAAAGACAUUAUAUAAAAAACAAUAUUUCGAUUGAAAAGUAGUUUUUGAAUAAAUAUAUACAUUGUGGAACUUCAGACCGUUUUCAUGUAAUAAUAAAUUAAUCAUAACAUUUGUUUUACCGCAAUUAGAAGGCCCACAAAUUAUAGAACGAAUUGUGUUUGGUAAGAGUUUACUAUGUCUUAUAUAACAUGUUGAUGGUAUUUCAGUAUCUAUAUAAUUUAUUUCUAAAGAAUCGGCUUGUUUGAUCAACUUCAUUAUUAUUUGUGACAUACUUUUUAGAUUACUCAUUAUUAAGUACUGCAAUCAUGUUUAGACUUGUCUAUCUUGUUUGAAAUUCUUGCAUAAAACUUGUUAAAUAUAAUUAAAUCAAAGCAUCAUAGUCUUAUUUAUCAAUUUCAAAUGACUUCAGUAUUGUUUCUUGUUUACCAUACCUUGCAUAAGGAUGAUCAUAUUACAUUCUUACACAAUAAGUUAAAUUACAAAUUAAAUAUUUAUUCUCAGAUCAGUUCUCGCAAGGAGCACACUGAUUUUUCACAAACUUCAAUCUCGUCUUCCUGAAUAAUGGCGAACUUUUAUAAUAUUGAUGAAAAUGAUCAAAUGAUCAAAGCAUGUGAAAACAUUGACCCAUUUUUUGGAAAUUGUGCUCAAGAUGUGAAUGCUAUACUAGAGAAAGAAGAACGAGAUAGGUUAAAAUUUAUAACUGAACAAGAGAAAACGAAGUCACUUCAAAAUAUUAAACAGAUGAGUAAACUAUCUUUGAAAAGAAAAUGUCCAAAGGUAGACAAACAAAUAUACAUGUCAGAUUCUUCUUUUAUUAUUAGAAAAAACAAGACGAAGGCGCAUCAUAUAAUCAAAAUUGAAAUUCUCGAAAUAAACCAUGGCGUUCAGGAAAAUAAUGUAAAUAGUCAAGUAAGUGUGCAGUAUGUAGUGACAGACAAUUACGAUAACAUAAUGUAUUCAGCUGAAGAAUUAAUUAAUAAGAUUAUGCAGAAAUUAAGUUUGCCAGAAUCAUUGUAAGUGAAUAGAUUGUCAUUGAAAUUAUUAUUUUAUAAAAUAAUUGUUUGAUUACAUAAUAAACGAUUUUAAAAUUA